AGUUGAGCGGAGAUAUAUGGAGCUUGCUUUAUAUAACUUAGCAGCGAACGGGUGAGUAACACGUAGAUAAUCUAUCCUAUACUGGGGGAUAGCCCGAUGAAAGUUGGAUUAAUACCGCAUAUAGCUAUAUAGUUGCAUGAUUAUGUAGUGAAAGAUUUAUUGGUAUAGGAGGAGUCUGCGGCACAUUAGCUAGUAGGUGAGGUAAAGGCUUACCUAGGCGACGAUGUGUAGCCGGUCUGAGAGGAUGAACGGCCACAAUGGAACUGAGACACGGUCCAUACUCCUACGGGAGGCAGCAGUGGGGAAUAUUGCACAAUGGGGGAAACCCUGAUGCAGCAACGCCGCGUGAGUGAAGAAGGUUUUCGGAUUGUAAAGCUCUGUUAGCAGGGAAGAGGAAGGACGGUACCUGCAGAGGAAGCCACGGCUAACUACGUGCCAGCAGCCGCGGUAAUACGUAGGUGGCAAGCGUUGUUCGGAAUAACUGGGCGUAAAGGAUGCGUAGGCGGUUAAACAAGUUAUAUGUUAAAUAUAUAGGCUUAACCUGUAGAAAGCAUAUAAAACUGUUUAACUAGAGUGCAGGAGAGGUAAGUGGAAUUCCUAGUGUAGCGGUGAAAUGCGUAGAGAUUAGGAAGAACACCAGUGGCGAAGGCGACUUACUGGACUGUAACUGACGCUGAGGCAUGAGAGCAUGGGGAGCAAACAGGAUUAGAUACCCUGGUAGUCCAUGCUGUAAACGAUGGGUACUAGGUGUGGGUUGUGAAUAACAAUUCGUGCC
rnacentral:rRNA from 1 species